rnacentral:rRNA from 1 species
AUUGAACGCUGGCGGCAGGCCUAACACAUGCAAGUCGAGCGGAGCGGCGGACGGGUGAGUAAUGCCUAGGAAUCUGCCCGGUAGUGGGGGAUAACGUCCGGAAACGGGCGCUAAUACCGAAUACUAUCAGAUGAGCCUAGGUCGGAUUGUCUAGGUGGUGGGGUAAAGGCCUACAAAGGCGACGAUCCGUAACUGGUCGGAGAGGAGGAUCAGUCAAACUGGAACGGGGACACGGUCAAGACUCCUACGGGAGGAAGCAGUGGGGAUUAUUGGAAAAUGGGCGAAAUCCUGAUCCAGCAAGGCGGCGUGUGUGAAGAAGGUCUUCGGAUUGUAAAGUACUUUAAGUUGGGAGGCGGUACCAACAGAAUAAGCACCGGCUAACUUCGUGCCAGCAGCCGCGGUAAUAC